AAGAAACACUUUACAAGCGUUAUCCUUGUCCUUGGUACAUAAAAAGUAAUGCGGUGCAGACGUGGUUUGAAUUAAAAAAAAAUACGCACAAAAAUUUCCCACUUAAGCUAUUCCCUCUAAAAUUUUCCACUUCCCCUCUAAAAAUUUUCACUAAAAGUCUAAGCGAUUCCAGUUGCCCCUUUACUCUAGGGUUUGAAACCCACAACCUUCUUCACUUGAUUUUAAAAAAAAAAAUGUCCAUUGCACCCAAUCUUCGUCAAAAAGGGGAAAGAAGAAAAUGAUUUCACCCAAAUGGUGAUGUUCUUGACAAGCAGGAGAUCUAAUUUACUUUAUUUGAUAUCUCCUAAUAUAUGAGUUACAUAAGUCAGUUUCUCAAGACAACAAGAAAGAUUCGGCAUUCAGUAUUGAGCUUAGGGGAGUCAGUACUAGACAUUAUUAUCUUGUGUCUAGCUCCACUCCUUUUGAAACUUCUACAAGAAUGGAUGAUUCAAGAAUUUCUUGUCUGUUGUCAAACUUUGCAGUGGUUUACCGACAAGAAGAUGCGAUUCAACUUGCAGGUUUGUUGUGCCAAUGAAGAAUUGUGACCUUGACAUCAAAGGGGUUUACGUUUUGCAAGUAUUAAUCAAACUGAAUGAACACUAGAAUCAGUCAAGGAAAAUUCUUGUGAUGCAAUUAAAAGUGGUGGCCAAAGUCGGUUUGAUACAUUUGAAGUUAAUGAUGAGACUUUGGACAAUACAUUUGAUUUUGUAAAGUUCGUAUUUAGCACGCUACUUGAAGCAAUUUGCUUUAUUGGUUGAUUGCAGUACAUAAAAUGUAUUCCUUUUUUCGAAGUAAAUUGCGCAUGUAUGUGUUUAAAACAAUCUCGUUUUUUAUUGAUUAAUGAAGUACUUGAGAUCUUUAUACUUAA